CGCCCCCUAUACGUCAUCAUUGAGUAAACUUUGACCCGGAACCUCACAGUCAGCAGACACUUCCUGGGAGGGAGGGUCUGCUGCUGGUUGGGUGGAAUGUGUCUGCUGGCUGUGAGGUUCCGGGUCAAAGUUUACUCAAUGAUGACGUAUAGGGGGCG
rnacentral:miRNA from 1 species